CCCAGAUUGGCAUUCCCAGGACUGGCAUUCCCCGACUGGUACUCCCAGAUUGGCAUCCCCAGAUCGACAUUCCAGGACUGGCAUUCCAGGAUUGACAUUCCCAGGAUUGCCAUUCCCAUAUCGACAUUCCCAUACCGACAUUCCCAGAUUGGCAUUCCCAGAUCGACAUUCCAGGACUGGCAUUCCAGGAUUGACAUUCCCAGGACUGACACUCCCAGACUGGCAUUCCCAGAUUGCCAUUCCCAUACCGACAUUCCCAGAUCGACAUUCCCAGAUUGGCAUUCCCAGACUGGCAUUCCCAGGACUGGCAUUCCCUGACUGACACUCCCGGACUGGCAUUCCCAGAUUGCCAUUCCCAUAUCGACAUUCCCAGAUUGGCAUUCCCAGAUUGGCAUUCCCAGACUGGCAUUCCAGGCUGGCAUUCCCGCNCAUUCCCAGAUUGGCAUUCCCAGACUGGCAUUCCAGGCUGGCAUUCCCGCCCAUCCCAGCGAGCCCCUGGCCCUGUCUGGCUCCAUCCCUGCCCUUCCCUACCCCAGACACCUCCAGGCUCUGGAAAAUCCCGAUUUCCUCCCCCUGGCCGGCGGCAGCUGCUCCGUGCCAGCCCCGCGGGCAUCAUGGAGGGACCGAGGGAGGAGGAGGGAAGGAGAAAAGAAGGAGAAAAGGAGAGAAGGGAAGGAGAAAUCCCGGCUGGAGGCGGCGGCAGCAGCAUCCAUCCAUCCAUCCAUCCAUCCAUCCAUCCAUCCAUCCAUCCAUCCAUCCAUCCAUCCAUCCCUCCAUCCAUCCGCCCCGUACUCACCGCUGCCGCUGCUCAGAGGGGAACAAAGGCGAGCCCGAGCCUUCCUCCCCGCCAGCUCCGCAUUCCUCCUCCCGCUGGACGCGGCUCAGCAGGUGCGGCCCGCGGAUGGCGGCGGGGAUGAGGAGGAUGAGGAUGGAGCAGCGUGCGGAUGCAUCCAGACAUUCUUCCGGGCUGCUCCAGCUCCUAUUACAGCAGAGGGGGCUGGAGAAAUGGAAAGCAUUAGGGAAACCUCAGCCUUUCUAUUGGAACCACAUUUCCAGGGCCGGCUGGCAGCGGGAUGGCACCGGGACAGCUGGAGGAGCUCCAUGAGGAGGAGGAGGGACCCUGAAGAAGGCAUGGAAGCAGAACCCAUCCUUUUGGCCACACCACGAUGGCCCAGCUCGCCCCAUCGGGGAGUUUUGUGGCUGUAAAUCCCAGCUGUUCCCAAAAAAAAAAAACCCAGCAGGAGCAGUGGGAGGCAGAUGGGGAACAUCCCCUGCGCACGGGCUGGAGCUGCGCUGCCAGCAGGGGGAAAUUAAAAACAAAAAAAAAAAAAACCAAAAAAAUUAUGGAUUGGAGCUAUUCCUGCUGGGUUUAACACACCAUUGCGUUGAGUCAGGUUUUCCUCCUGGUUUUGGGGGCUCCAAGCUGGAUUUGCAGUGGGAAUGGGGGAUUUUGGGAGAUGUCCCUUGUCCCCUCAUCCUCCUGAUGCUCCCACCACCACCCUGGCAAGAGGAGAGUCCCUUGGGCAUGGUGCCCACCAUCAAGGCACCCUAAAUCCCUGGAUUUUGCCAAAAACUGUCCCCAAACCAGGGUGCAAAUGCUGAGCAGAGGCAGCUCCUGCUCCAAACCCUCCUCUGCAGCACCAGGUCCUGCUCUGCUUCCCCACCACCUUCCCUGCCUUCCCUGCCCUGCUUCCAUUCCUUUUUCCUUACUGCAACAAAACUAAUUUUAGUUUUAUAGCAGCAAGAGCUGGAAAGCACCCAAGCCCUUGAGAGGACAGUUCUUAUUAUUAUUAUCAUUAUUAUUAUUAGAUUUGGGUGCUUUUUUUUUUUUUCCUUAAACUCGAGUGAGCCGCUUAUCCACAGCUCCUGCUGCCCAUCUGCCAUUCCCAUCCUCCAGCUGAUUCUUUUGGGCUGCUUUUCCCAUUUCCAGCCAAAACCAGGCCUGCAAACUCACACCUUGGUUGGGGAGCUGCACCUGGAUUUGUGGAGUUUAUCCACUCUCAGUUCCCAUUUCCUGGGUGCAGGUUUUGCACCCUAUACCUCCAGCUGCCUCCUGCCUUUCCCAAAAUCCAGGGAAAACUCCGUGUUACAGACUCCAGGCUGCCUUCCCGGGCUGCCAGCCCUGCUGAGGGAUGGUGUUUAUAUUCCUCCACUACACCCUGGCUCCGCUCAGCCAAGAGCUGCCUUUGGAUAAAAAGGAAGGGAAUAAAAUAAUCCCCACCAGGCUGGGCCUGCGUGGA
ensembl:lncRNA